UGAGCGGCAAAGCUAAAUUUGAAAUCUGGCAUCUUUGAUGUCCGAGUUGUAAUUUGAAGAGGUUACUUUGGAGGCUGGCUCUUGUCUAUGUUCCUUGGAACAGGACGUCAUGGAGGGUGAGAAUCCCGUCUGGCGAGAGUUUCAGUUUUCAUGUAAAGUAGCAUUCGACGAGUCGAGUUGUUUGGGAAUGCAGCUCUAAGUGGGUGGUAAAUUCCAUCUAAAGCUAAAUAUUGGCGAGAGACCGAUAGCGAACAAGUACAGUGAUGGAAAGAUGAAAAGAACUUUGAAAAGAGAGUGAAAAAGUACGUGAAAUUGUUGAAAGGGAAGGGCAUUUGAUCAGACAUGGUGUUUCGUGCUUCUUGCUCCUUGUGGGCGGGGAGACUCACACGGUUCACUGGGCCAACAUCAGUUUUGGCAGCAGGAUAAAACUUUGGGAACGUAGCUUUCUUCGGGAAGUGUUAUAGCCCUUAGCAAUACUGCUAGCCGGGAUUGAGGACUGCGCAUUUAUGCAAGGAUGUUGGCUUAAUGGUUAAAUGCCGCCCGUCU
rnacentral:rRNA from 1 species